rnacentral:sRNA from 1 species
AAAAAGUUUUCAAUGCCGAAGACAGUAAGAGCAUAAAUGCUUAAUAUUUCUUACCGAGGUAAAUACUUAAAUAGAUUAUUUAAGUCUUUAUGCCUCGCAUGAAGACUUUUUUGAUA